rfam:Salmo salar isolate Sally breed double haploid chromosome ssa24, whole genome shotgun sequence.
UGCAUUCACUACUGUAAGUCGCUCUGGAUAAGAGCGUCUGCUAAAUGGCCAAAA